UACGUAGGGUGCAAGCGUUGUCCGGAAUUAUUGGGCGUAAAGAGCUCGUAGGCGGUGUGUCGCGUCGGCCGUGAAAACCUGCAGCUUAACUGUGGGCUUGCGGUCGAUACGGGCAUCACUGGAGUUCGGCAGGGGAGACUGGAAUUCCUGGUGUAGCGGUGAAAUGCGCAGAUAUCAGGAGGAACACCGGUGGCGAAGGCGGGGUCUCUGGGCCGAUACUG
rnacentral:rRNA from 1 species